rnacentral:rRNA from 1 species
CGUAUGGUGCGAACGUUAUUCGGAAUUACUGGGCAUAAAGGGCGCGUAGGCGGUUUGGUAAGUCUGUAUGUGAAAUCCCUCGGCUUAACCGAGGAACUGCAUCGGAUACUGCCAGACUAGAGUGCAGGAGGGGAGAGCGGAAUUCCUGGUGGAGCGGUGAAAUGCGUAGAUAUCAGGAGGAACGCCAGUGGCGAAAGCGGCUCUCUGGCCUGCAACUGACGCUGAGGCGCGAAAGCUAGGGGAGCGAACGGGAUUAGAUACCCCGGUAGUCCUAGCCCUAAACGAUGGGUACUAGGUAGAGGAAGUUCUAUAGCUUUCUCUGCUGGAGCUAAUGUAUUAAGUACCCCGCCUGGGGAGUAUGGUCGCAAGGCUA